rnacentral:rRNA from 1 species
GGUUCAGACAUAAAAGGUGGCUUCGGCUACCACUUACCGAUGGACCCUCGGCGCAUUAGCUAGUUGGUGAGGUAACGGCUCACCAAGGCGACGAUGCGUAGCCGACCUGAGAGGGUGAUCGGCCACACUGGGACUGAGACACGGCCCAGACUCCUACGGGAGGCAGCAGUAGGGAAUUCUUCCGCAAUGGACGAAAGUCUGACGGAGCAACGCCGCGUGAGUGAUGAAGGUUUUCGGAUCGUAAAGCUCUGUUGUUAGGGAAGAACAAGUGCCGUUCAAAUAGGGCGGCACCUUGACGGUACCUAACCAGAAAGCCACGGCUAACUACGUGCCAGCAGCCGCGGUAAUACGUAGGUGGCAAGCGUUGUCCGGAAUUAUUGGGCGUAAAGGGCUCGCAGGCGGUUUCUUAASUCUGAUGUGAAAGCCCCCGGCUCAACCGGGGAGGGUCAUUGGAAACUGGGGAACUUGAGUGCAGAAGAGGAGAGUGGAAUUCCACGUGUAGCGGUGAAAUGCGUAGAGAUGUGGAGGAACACCAGUGGCGAAGGCGACUCUCUGGUCUGUAACUGACGCUGAGGAGCGAAAGCGUGGGGAGCGAACAGGAUUAGAUACCCUGGUAGUCCACGCCGUAMACGAUGAGUGCUAAGUGUUAGGGGGUUUCCGCCCCUUAGUGCUGCAGCUAACGCAUUAAGCACUCCGCCUGGSGAGUACGGUCGCAAGACUGAAACUCAAAGGAAUUGACGGGGGCCCGCACAAGCGGUGGAGCAUGUGGUUUAAUUCGAAGCAACGCGAAGAACCUUACCAGGUCUUGACAUCCUCUGACAAUCCUAGAGAUAGGACGUCCCCUUCGGGGGCAGAGUGACAGGUGGUGCAUGGUUGUCGUCAGCUCGUGUCGUGAGAUGUUGGGUUAAGUCCCGCAACGAGCGCAACCCUUGAUCUUAGUUGCCAGCAUUCAGUUGGGCACUCUAAGGUGACUGCCGGUGACAAACCGGAGGAAGGUGGGGAUGACGUCAAAUCAUCAUGCCCCUUAUGACCUGGGCUACACACGUGCUACAAUGGGCAGAACAAAGGGCAGCGAAACCGCGAGGUUAAGCCAAUCCCACAAAUCUGUUCUCAGUUCGGAUCGCAGUCUGCAACUCGACUGCGUGAAGCUGGAAUCGCUAGUAAUCGCGGAUCAGCAUGCCGCGG